rnacentral:rRNA from 1 species
GUGAGGAAUUUUCCGCAAUGGGCGAAAGCCUGAUGGAGCAAUGUCGCGUGAAGGAUGAAGGCCUAUGGGUUGUAAACUUCUUUUCUCAGAAAAGAAUUAUGACGGUAUCUGAGGAAUAAGCAUCGGCUAACUCUGUGCCAGCAGCCGCGGUAAGACAGAGGAUGCAAGCGUUAUCCGGAAUGAUUGGGCGUAAAGCGUCUGUAGGUUGUUUAAAAAGUAUUCUGUCAAAGAUUAGGGCUUAACCCUAGAUAGGCAGAAUAAACUUUUAAGCUAGAGGUUGGUAGAGGCAGAGGGAAUUCCCGGUGGAGCGGUGAAAUGCGUAGAUAUCGGGAGGAACACCAAAGGCGAAGGCACUCUGCUGGGCCAAUACUAACACUGAGAGACGAAAGCGAGGGGAGCAAAUGGGAUUAGAAACCCCGGUAGUCC